AGCCCUGUAGCUCAGUGGAUUAGAGCACUUGCCUCCUAAGCAAGGGGUCCGAGGUUCGAGCCCUCGCUGGGUCG